rnacentral:lncRNA from 1 species
AUGGAAAAUUCCAGUGUUAUAUGAUAGAGACAUUGCUCUGGAUGUUCUGUGUUGGGAAUUAUUACUCAAGGAGCAACAAAACACAAUAAAAAUAAUUCACCAUGAACGAUUCCUCUAUGAAGUCUGUGAAUAACGUGGAAAAUGAUGGCGAUGUUUGUUAAGUGAAGAAAGUAGACCCUGGAAUUCCUUAUGUGAGGGAGGCUGCAGUGUUCGUGGUGGAGUACUGGUGUGGGCAGUCAGGAAGGUGGCCACCACCCCUCACCGUGGACCAGGGGUGAUUUGAAUUGAAGAAAUUACACUUUAAAAAUUAAUAAAAUGUUGUUACAU